rnacentral:rRNA from 1 species
GCAACCUGCCCCGAAGACCGGGACAACACCGGGAAACCGGUGCUAAUACUGGAUAUCCCCAUCGGAUCGCAUGGUUUGAUGAGGAAAUGGAUUCCGCUUCGGGAGGGGCUCGCGGCCUAUCAGCUAGUUGGUGAGGUAACGGCUCACCAAGGCUUCGACGGGUAGCUGGUCUGAGAGGACGAUCAGCCACACUGGGACUGAGACACGGCCCAGACUCCUACGGGAGGCAGCAGUGGGGAAUCUUGCACAAUGGGCGAAAGCCUGAUGCAGCAACGCCGCGUGAGGGACGAAGGCUUUCUGAGUUGUAAACCUCUUUCAGCAGGGACGAUUAUGACGGUACCUGCAGAAGAAGCACCG